UUGAACGCUGGCGGCAGGCCUAACACAUGCCAGUCGAACGGUAACAGGAAGCAGCUUGCUGCUUCGCUGACGAGUGGCGGACGGGUGAGUAAUGUCUGGGAAACUGCCUGAUGGAGGGGGAUAACUACUGGAAACGGUAGCUAAUACCGCAUAACGUCGCAAGACCAAAGAGGGGGACCUUAGGGCCUCUUGCCAUCGGAUGUGCCCAGAUGGGAUUAGCUAGUAGGUGGGGUAACGGCUCACCUAGGCGACGAUCCCUAGCUGGUCUGAGAGGAUGACCAGCCACACUGGAACUGAGACACGGUCCAGACUCCUACGGGAGGCAGCAGUGGGGAAUAUUGCACAAUGGGCGCAAGCCUGAUGCAGCCAUGCCGCGUGUAUGAAGAAGGCCUUCGGGUUGUAAAGUACUUUCAGCGGGGAGGAAGGGAGUAAAGUUAAUACCUUUGCUCAUUGACGUUACCCGCAGAAGAAGCACCGGCUAACUCCGUG
rnacentral:rRNA from 1 species